CAGGGUAUUUGUUUCUGCCGCUGGAUUUGUUGUUUCGGGGCGUGACUGACAGCUCCGGGGGGGAGAGGACAAUCUAGCAGCAUUUCAGCUUUUGCUGUCUCGCGGGAGCUUGGACGACGGAGAAGACCGAUUCACUGCGUGCGUGCGCCGGGCUUAUGUAAGCCGCAGGCGGCCGCGGAGUGGAGAAAGGAAUGCGGCGAGGUGCGGGGGCAGGGAGAGCUGGCCGGGCAGGCGCCGCAGUGCAGGCUCGGCCGCAGAGCUGCGCGUGGAGGUGCCGCGGUGACUGAAACCCUGCAGUGCAGAGCCAGCAGCAGGGGCGGAGGAGGGAGCAGAGGAGCUUCUAGCGGCGGUGCUGGGGCGCAAAGCCCUAAUUUGGCAAUGCUCAGGGGGUAGGGCUGGGGAUGGUGGGGAAAGCUGCCUUAUUGGGGCUUGCUUGUGACAAUAGGUGGGGGUGUGCAGUGUGGGAGGGAGCUGAGGAGGCAGAGGGGAGAGGCAAAGGCCAGCGGCCUUGGAGCUGCUUCAUAGGCGGCAGGAAUUAAAGCGGCAGGCUCCUGUAACUGAUUAGCAGCAGGGUUUCUCCUAUGGGCCUCUCCCCUAAAUUCUGUCUUCCUUAUAAUUUCACCCCAUCUUUGGCUCUCCGAAGCGAAGCCGCAGCGCACAGCUGCCCACCCAGCCCCUGGUAAGCAGCAGAAGCCUCUGCUGGAGUCGUCCCGCUGGGGAUGCUCUACGUCUCAGCCGAGUAGGCGGCUGCAUGGUGCACCAAUCAGGUGGUUGCAAUCCCACAAUAUUUAUUUGAACUUAUUCUGCACAAGGAACAAGGCUGGGCUUUUUCAGGGCAUAUUCCUGCCCUCUGGGUCUAGCAGGAUAAUGGUAAGAAAUAGGACAAUGGCCCAGAUAAAUAAGUAAUACAGCCCAAGAUGGUACCUGAAAACCUGGAGGGAGAUGCAAAGGCUACAUGUUUUUUUUGUAGAUUCACAUACCUAACACCUCUGUCCUUCCAGCUGAUUUUCUGCUUUGGAGGAGCAAGAUGGGGGUCAUUUUGUCUGAUCUCUGCCAAUCUGAUCGGGUUGUCCAUAGGCCUAAAGCCAAUCGUACAUUUCAGCUUCUAUCCAGUGUCCAUAUAUUCAUCUCUCUGUGCUCUGGGAGGGAAAGCUGGCUUUGAAAAGCAGAUGGACCUGGGUAGAGGUCUUGGCACUGCCAUUUACUUGCUUUGGGUUGUUGGGCAAGUAACUUCACUCGCUGUCAGUUUUCUCGUCUGUGAAAUGGGACUUAAAUAAAAUGUGGUUAAGAGCACAGGCUCUGAAGUGACCCUGCCUGGGUGUGAAUACAGAACCCAACACUUAUUAGCUGUGUGAUCGUGGCUAAGUUGCUAAACCUCCCAGUGGCUCAGUUUCUUCAUCUGGAAAAUGGGGAUAAUAACAGCACCUACAUCAUAGGGUUGCUGUGAGGAUUAAAUAUGUUAAAAUAUGCAGAGAGCUUAAGACAGUGGCUAGCACAGAGUAAGUUUUUUAUAAUAAUGAUAAUAACAAUAAUAAUUUCAUCUCAAGGUUGCCGUGAGGUAUAAAUUAAACAACGUUCUUAGAAGUACCUGGGAAAUAAAUACAAAUACAUGUGACUAUCUCCUUCCUUUACUUAUAAGGAGUUAGGAAAUAACAGAAGAGCCCUCUGUGCUAACAUUCUGCACCUCAGAAUUAAAUCUAAUAUGGGGAGAUAACUUUUUCUUCUUUUGCCACUUUACCUUUAAGAAAAUGGAAACUAAAGUUGAUAUAGGGAAUGAUUAUUAAUAUGAUGUAAUAGCUCUCAACAUUAAAUUAAAAAGUCAUGCUAAAGAGCAAUUUUCAAAAAGGUAAAAAUUAUGACUCACAUACAAAUACAAAACGCAUAAACUUCAAACGUUUUAUUUAACCCCUUAAUUAGGGAAUGAGUAAGAUGCUAACAUCUGUUCAAAGGAGAAUUUGAAGAACACACACACACAACCAGGAAUGUAGAGAUGAAUUUGCUAGUGGAUACAAAACCCGUUAAUAGCCUAUAGCGCGAUGUUUGCAAAGUAUAAUAUUUAGAGUCAACUUUUUUACAGGAUGGAAAUCAAUCAGAUCUCUACCAUUUGCAUUUUUAUAGGAAAGAAUCAUUUGCUUUACUAUCAGUUUUCUGAAACUUAACUUGCAUUCCUACAGAGCUGUCAAAUUGCCUAGUGAAUGAAAACAGUUGAAGAUGCACAGCCUAUAGAAUCAGAUAGUUCCCAGAGUCUGCUAGCCUGUGCCCAGGUCUUCCCUGAAAGGACACCCAGUAGAGUCCCUGAUGUUUAAAGAUGAAUCAAAUGAUAAAAUACCUUUUAAGUUGGAAAGAGGGGAGGUUUAUUUGUGAGAAGCAUUGACACUUGUGAGUUCAUUAUAUAAAAUGAGGUGACUACAUUUGUGAUGCUACCUUAGCAAACCCCUUGGGUUCCCAGGAUCAAGACCACCCUCCUUCAAAUGUGAGACUGUUUAGUGUUGAUAACUGAUACCAGGAUACCUGGUACCAGAGGCUGCUUUUUGCUAUCAGGCUCAUCAGAGAGAUUCUAUGGCCUGAUGACUCCUCUUCCGGAGGUGCUGCAGGCUUGAACAAGAAGUCUUGCCUCAGGUCUCCCAGGGAGUGGGAUAGGAACCCUGAAGUUGGGAAGGGUAGAGGAAGGGAGGGUCUAGGCCCAUGGUGGUUUGAUCAACACUAAGCCAUUGGGCCGCAAAAUAGGAGAGCUCCCUCCUCUGACUUCCUGGCUUCUCCAGCACUGUCUAUCAUAAGUCCGGGAACCAUAUUUAUAUUAACAUAUUUGUAAUCGUGAGCCCUCCAGGACCAGUUCAACUGACUCCAUCUUAUCAACAGAGUAAUUAAGAAAUUGUCUUUUAGAAAAAUUGCAAAGUCACCCAGCCAGAGCAUGUGCAGAAAAAGGAAACUUGACCUGAAAUGACUGUGGAACCAAGGAUUCCCCUUCUCAUGGAAUCAAAGGGCCAGGACCUGACCAGAGCUUAAAAGUCACACUUUCAUCAGAAGCAAGGGGUUUGUCAUUCUGGAAGAUCUAGUGUUAAAACUCCUUCCCCACUUUACCGUAAGUGUUUACAACCUCAUCAUACAUGUUUAUAACUUCAUCCUGAAUGUGCAGAACCUUACCGUAAAUGCUUGAAGCCCACCCAUCAAAACCUGUCUUGCCAGCGUUUCCAUGUGCCUAACCUCUUUAAUUUCACCCCAAAUCCUUAAUCAGAGAAUCAGAUCUGAGGGCACUUGCCUUCUGUUCCCCUGAAGAUUAAUCUUGCAGAAUAGAGCUGAUUUCUUUUCCCCAAAGCUGCCAUAGUUAAUUGUCUUUUUUUAUAUGCAUUGGGCGAGAGAACCCCAAUUUUGUGUGGUAACAUAUUCAGUCUCCAUGAAGUGGGAGACUUUUUUCCAGCCACUUUGGACAUACUCAUGGGCUAGUAGAAAUACCCAGAAUUAGAAGGAUUAAGACUCCUUGGAAAGUUUUUUCCAGGAACUCAAUGCUGCGUUUGCCCUUAGUUCCUAGAAGGCAGUCAGCUGUGUUUCUCAAAGCCUGGUUUGGGAGCUCCCUAAAUUACAGUCACUUUGAGUAUGGUCUGCAAACUGCUGAGCAUGAGAACAUUUAAAUAAUCAAGGGGCCAAUCUCUUCCCUGUCUCCAUUUUUUGGAAGUGAGACCAGCCAGUUUCUUAGAGCACCACAGGGAGGAAGGUAAGUGAGAGAGAAAUGGCAGAGUGAGUGGUUCUCAGUUGUGAUGCUGGGUGAUAUGGUGCAUCUCCCACAGUGUUCUCCGACUCCUCCUGAGUUUGGGGAAUCAGGGAGAAGUGAAGGAAGACACUGUGGAAUCAAUCGAAUAUGAUUUAUUCAUAGGCAGGAAUGAGAUGGCUUUGCUUUCUCUUUUUCUUACUUGGGCAACAUAAUUAAGUCCAAUUAAUGGGACCUAAUUUUAGGGGGAGUCUGUUUCCCGUUGUCUUUACCCAAAGAUGGCCACCAAAGUGCAGACGAGCUCUAUCUUACUGUAGGAGAGGAACACGGAUUCUUGAUAAUGAAGGGGAAAAUGGCAAAUGGAUGUUUAUUGUGGCUUCUCUGUCUGCAGGUGGCCAACUGGGGUGGAGGUGGGGGACAGAGGGUAGAGGGCCAGAAGACACACUUUGUGUCUUGAGCUGACACUCGCCUGCAUCGACUUGCCUGCUUUCUGCCAGGAGAGGCCAAGCGCUGUCCUCCAGCUCUCUUUCACGCUGCUGGAGGGGAGGCAGCACCGAGGGACCUGGUUGCCUCCUCCCUUCGUCCCAACCUGAACAAAGAUGAGCAGCUGAGUGGCUUUCCUCAAAGUACGCUGGGCCACUGGGAUUUUUAACCGGAAAGGGCUCGUGGGGUAUUGCAAUUUGGCAGCAUUAGAGAUCCACUCUUCUUCUGACCUCCAAUCUAAGUAAUUAGAGCUUUCUCAUCUCACUAAACAGGGAACAUCUAGGGCAGCGUGGGACAGAAUUAGAACCAACCCACCAGGAGACCAGCACUCAGCCCGAGGAGGACAGCACCAUGCUACGACCCAAAGAUGGGAGAAGAUGAAUCAGAUAGAGGCAGGCAGACACCUCCCCGAUCUGCAUUUGUUGUUGUUGUUGUUUUUUAAACAGAAAAAUGACUCUCUCAACAAACCCCUCUAACAAACAAAUGAGCCUAGGAUGAGAUUUCCAGCGCACCCCCUUCCCUGACAGGAAUAAUAAAUUAAUCCUAGGCUGCAGCAGCUGCCGGGGCAUCACUCAGGGCUGUUUCCAUUCAGUCCCAGGAGAGCCCCCGAAAGCCACUCCCCACCCCAUGCCAGCGCUGCUAAAUUUAGCUCUUCUGGCAUGUGCGCAGUGUAUUUUUAGUGCCUGAAAGUCAGAGUUCAGCAUACAAUUCAUCAAGCCAUCAGCCAUCCUCCAUCCAAGCGACACGUAGAGAAAAAUCCUUCCAAAAGAGGCACUUGCUCUCCACCAGGGGUAAAAGCCAUUCUAAGAGCAAGAAUUCACUGGGCCAAAGGGGUUUUCUCCUGACUGGGAUGAUGUGAGGAGUGCCUGAGAGUGCCAGGCAUGGAGCCAGGGAGCAGAGUGUGGCUCCAGAGAGCCAGAGGGCAGGGGCAAGGGGAGGCAAGAAAGCAGGGAAGGGUCAGCAGGCCCUGCUGCAAUUAUUCUGUUCCCACUGAAGUUGCCGGCAACUGGGUGUGGGUUUUAAGGCCCCAGCUUAGAUGUCACUUCUUGUGGAAACUUGACUUGAGACCCCUCAAAGUGGAUUAGGAGCCCCUCCACUGCACACUGUAUUUCCUCUGCCACACUGCACAGCAGCUACCUCCUGAAACUGGAAUGUGCAAACAAAUCACUUGGAAUGUUGUUAAAAUGCAGGUUCCAUUUUGGUAUAUCUGGGACCUUAGAUCUUGCCUUUCUAGUAAGCUCUCAGGGCAAGACUCUGGUAGUGCCACAGAGGGGCUGCUCUGGGGCAGAGGCGAUACCAGGCUGACCAGCCUAUAGCAAAUCCAGACAUUGCCUCAGGGGCUGAGCUUGUGAGUUUAUAGGUGAAGGCAUUAUAGGAGGGGUGUUGGUAAGGAGGAAAGUGCGGGUCUUCAUCCCCGCUACCCCAUAACACCAUGAUUGCUGGCCAGUGGAGCUGUACCAGGUAAGAGAGAGAUCCUAGUACGUGGGAAAGAAGGAUUGCCCAUGGACUGCAGUUCAGGCCUGGAGCUGUUUCCACUCUCGCACCUGGAGACCUCUCUUUCAUCAGAACAAGCAAUGCUGCGGGGGUAACUAAAGGCUGGGGCUGCUGUGGAGGGGCUUGGGUUUUCCUGCUCCUGAGGCGCAGCCCAAGAGAUAGAUGGUUAACGGUUCUCAUAGGACAAUCCAUCGGGGAGGUGGGGGAGGUUUCAGGGUACCAGUAAACUGACAACAAAGAGUGGUGAAAGACGAAAUACACCAGACAAUUAAGGAGAUGAUUUAAUUGAGACUAUUGUAACAGGGAGAAAUUCAUGAAUGAGCAAUGUCUCAAGGUAAAGGAAGGAGACCCCGUGGUGGUACAGAGGCAAACAAAUGACAUCAUGAGGACGGGUCUUAUCUCAGAACAUUCAGACUAUUGGAGGGAAGGUGGGCCUUUGAAGUUAACAAUUUUGGAAACCAAAAGACGUAGGAGAUGUCUCAGAACUGAAAGGACGGGGGGAAUGUCUUACCUUUGUUAUUUUCCAGGAGCACAGGGCUCAGGUAAGUUCCGACCGUGUCAGAAUAUGAGGCGGUGACUGUUAGGUAUGAAAGGGGGAUUGCUGUGGGGCAAGAGCAGGCCUUGAGUGCUUCAGAGCUCAGAUAAGCAAGAGGUCUCUGUGGACCAGUGUUACCUGGGAGCGUCGUAUGGUGGAGUUAGCUUAAACUUGCUCUUAAGCUAAUUGUUAAACGUACAGCAAUAUUGUGAGCUAGUUGUUAAACCAUUGGUAGUUUCAAAUUGGCCAUGGUGGGAGUAUUUACACCAUGAAAAUUGGCAAACACUAUAAAUCAGCGUUCCUCCUCCACUCACUCUUCAGGAGAGCUGGUUGUUACGCAUCUAUCGGAGUUCCACUGCCCAGAAGUCUCUGUAGAGGAGGCAGAACUUGAAAUGGACCUUACAAGUUGGGAAAAGAAGCAUCUUGUAUUUCUCUUCCACAGAAGUGUGUACAAUUACGUAUAUCUCCUUUUUAAGAAGAAAGUUGAUGCUCUUUUCCCAACUUGAGAGAGAGAAAAGAAUAAGAAGAUUCAAAGGUUUCUGUGUCUAAGGACUGAAUGGAUGGUGUACCACUUGGCGAGACAGAGGAUACAAGAGGAUUUUGACCAAAUGCAUUCAACAUGUAUCUGCAUGCAAACUCUUGAAGCUCUUGGCUGUUUUUUCCAACCACCGCGGUGAAUUCCGGAUGAGAGCUGGGGCUUGAAGAGAGACAGAGCUUUCUCUGGAAUGUCUGUUCUUCCUGCCAGUCAGUGUUCAUCUGGCAGGCCGGCCUUUGACUGCACUGGUAUUUUAAGCAUCUAAAUGUGUUCUAAGCUGGCCCGGCAGCCAUCCUAUGCAAUCCACGUCACUGCCCUUUACACCGGAGGGGACUUAGGGACCUUUGGAAUGCUCAAUCAGCAGAGCCUGCACUGAAUUGCAGUGGAAUCCAUUUGCCCAGGGACAGUAAGAAUAGACUGGAUUCUGAGGUGGGCAGAUCUAGAGCUUUUCUUAAAGGUGAGAGUGGUGUCAGGGAAGGAGGCAGUCAAAGAAGCAGUAAAGUUUGGAUAUGAUUUAAAUGAAAUACGCUUGAGAUAAAAUGAUCUCCCCACAAAAACAAAGCACAACUCCACAAAUCAAAAGGGAAAGGAGGCUAGCCUAGAAUCCAGCGAUGUAGACAUGUGUUGACGCGCCCAUCUCUGCGAGCUAGGGAAAGAGCAGUAUUUACUCAGAGAGCAGUUCAGCAUUAAUACCCGUAAAACACUCAGAACGGUAUCUGGCAGAUAGUAAAGCUCAAUAUAUAUUAAACAACAUAAUAAUACUGACAAAUUAUUCUUAUUAUUUUAUCAUUAUGCCGUGGCUAGAGCUUACCUGCUUCUUGUUUCUGUGUCUUUUUCCAUACCAUGAAGAAAAUUGUUUAAAUAUACGACAGAAAUUAAUAGAUUGGUUAAUGUAGUUCUUAUACAAGGAUGAUAUUGACAACCAUGAAACACAUCCCAAAUGUGACGUGAAGGUAAGGUUGGGUAGUGGGAAGAGGUUUUGAGCCAGAGAGCCCUCAGGCAGCCUAGGCACUUGGCCAAGCUACUUAACUUCCAAGAACCUUACUUUUAUGAUUUGUGAAGUAGAGAAGAUAAUAUCUACCCUUGAGAUUGUUAUCAGGGUUGAAUAAAUCAAUGUAUAUAAUGUAAUGUGAAUAGCGUUGGGUACACAGAAUAACUCCGACAACGGUAGCUGUGAUUAUUAGGAACUUUGGUGGAUUCCUUAAGUGGGAAAAUUCUUAUUUUUUCUUUCCAUGUACAGAAAUCUUCUUUACCUUUUCAGGACCAACUUGAUGCCAACCUCCGUGAAAAUCCCCUCCAGAUUCUCUUGGUCAGAUUUACUCUUUCCUUCCUCUGGACUCCUAUUACAUUUUGCGGAUGCUUCUCUUUCUCAGUCUCCCUUCCCCCAACUCAUCUUGAAAGUCUUUUUCCUUGCAUGUCUGAGCUAGAUUUAAGAUUUUUUAUGCAUCUCUGGAUCUCUUUGCUGUUUAGUAAAAAGGCUAGGAUAUAGUAGGCAUCUAACAAAUAUUUAUAGAAUUGAGAGUUCUCUCUAAUCCUCAAAGCCAGGAAACUGACUUACAUUUAAAAGAGCCUCCCUCUCUUUUCCCAAAUUACCCCUAUCAGAAUUUCUGCAACAACAUAUAGUAGUGACUAAAUGUAUAGUGUCUGAUGUCAGCAGGUCUCUUUUGGAAUCCUAUUCCAGCAAUUGAUAGCAUGUUGCCUGGUAUAUCACAGGUAGCUAAUGUUAUGCUAUCUAUCAUUAUUGUUAUUGUCAUUGUGGGUACCGUCAUCAUCAUUAACAGAGACAAUGUCCAUCUUGCUUAUAAUGGAUGUAGGGAAGAAGGACACAUACAUGAUGCAACCAAAGCUCAGUAUAUGACUGAUAGUUAAGAGCCCUCACUUCAUGUGGAGCACGGAUGGCACAUCUGGUUCCAAUCAAGAAAUGAUCACUCUCUUGGCACGACAGAAAGGAAACAAACUAUUCUGAGGUCAUUUCAACAGCUUCCUGCACCAGCUGGUCAAAGUAAUUAGAACAGCUAAGUGCCCAGUAAAGCCAGGCAUAGAAUGGACUCCACUUCCGUGACAGGGAUAAGGUAGCAUAUUAUAAAAAUACACGUAAAACUCUGAGGACAAGCAUUAGUCAUUGUAUCUCCAGUGACUGAAAGAGACUCUGAUUUGGUGUAGGACAGAGGCUGUGAAAGGGGAGGUUGACGAGAGGAGGAUCUCAGUCACUUAAGCUACUGCCGGGCUCUUCUCUGCUGUAACCGGGCUCGUGUUAUUAACAUCCAAGAAGAGGGGAACUGAAGCUGUAACACACAUGACAGUGUGGUGUAAUGGAAAGAAAAGGAGAUUCAAAUCCUGGGUUUAACACUUACUAGCUCUGUGGCUUUUGCAAUUUGCUUAAUCUCAGUGAAUUUCAGUUUCCUAAGGAUGUUUGGGAGAAUUAGAGACGAUGUUACAUACCCAUGCUCACCACCUGGCAACUUCAUUAUUGAGGACUCUAAUACUUGACACCUGAUUUUUUUCAAAUUAGGGAAGAAUAAUAAAAAUUAGACAGUUAUAAAAAAAAUCAAUUUCAGUGAAAAUGUUCUGACUGCUGUGAGUUUUGGGCAUGGGCCUCCUAAGACUCUUCUUGCCCUGGAUCAGAACCUCAGCAGACAGUAAAUUGGUUUCUUUCUGUUCUGGGUCCUCUUCUGUACCCCAAUUUUCAGCUUAGAAAGUUCUUGAAAUUGUUCUUAGGGGCACUGAGCUGAGGCAUGGGGAAAUAUCAAUGCUCACUUGUUCCUACUAUGGAGAAGAUUGCUCAAGGGCACAUGUCCCACUGAUGGUGAAUUAGUGAUGUCAUCUUCCUACAUGAAGAACAUUAUUAAUAUCACAGUGACUCACACUGUGUGACUCUCCAGGCACUUGCCAGAGGGGAAGGGUGGGGAUAGAUCUACAAAAAUAUGGAGGGAGGAGAAGAAGGAUUGAGACUUAGAUGAAAUAUUUUAAAUGAGGAAUUAGCACCCUCUUUAGCUUUGAGAGAUGAGAAACACAGAAGUCACUGGUGGCCUAAUGAAAGUUAGGAGAGAGAGGGAAGUUGGAGAGGGAGUUAGAAAAGGUGAAGGGAAGAGAUCAAUAAAGAAGGAAGGAACCAGAAAAGAGAAAGGGAAAAAGGAGGAUGUAGGAAAAGAGUGUCAUUAUUUAGGAUUGAAACUCAAGCUAUGGGGACGACCAAUAAAAGAAGGUUAAAUUUGUAAAAUACACUGAGAGGUCAAAGGGGUCCCAGAAAGAAGGUAUUUAUGAACAUCUAAGUCAGUGGUUUUUGAGAAUUUGGUGAAAUCAAUGGAUAAAAAAGAGUAUAUAAAUUCCAAAUGUUGAUACACUUUCGUGGAAUUCCCAGUUUCCCUAAGGCUGCUCCAUGGAUCGCCCUCUUAGGAGAUUCUGCUUUAUGGAUUCACAUAGGUUAUCGUGAGACAGUGACGGGUCUAGAGCUUCCUCAGGCAGGUCUGUGUGUCAAACAGGGUUUAUGAAUAUUACUUUUUUGGUGUUUUCUCAGCUGCAUGGAUGUCACUUUUUCAAAUCUAGUUAUAUUUAUUUAUUUAAUCACUAUAUUGAUUUCUUUUUUAAAUUUCAGGAAGUGUUGGUGGAUUUUUUUUUAAACGACUGUUAGUAAAUGAUCCAAGGGUUUUGGGCCAAACAAAAGAGGAUCAUGACCUCAAAUAAAACCUACCAUUUGGGUGUUAGGCUCUUUCAAACGGGAAGAAGGACGUCCAUUGGGGUUUCCUUAAGUGACAGGGUUUGUUUUCAAUAUACGUAUAGAAUUAAGAAAAACAGAAGUUGCAUUUCAUGGACCUCCUGAAGGAAAAGAAGCAUCAGGAUGCCAGGCCACACAGAGACUGUUGUUUAGGAACCACAUUAUUUAGGGUUUGGUGUAGCUUGAACAAUCUUGCCCCCGCUCAGCAGCAGACAUCUGUUGAUUUCUACUCUAGUGUUUCUCUGUUCUGGUGGCUCUUCUACUCUUUGCACUCUUCCUGUUGCCACCUCCAUUCUCUUUUACAGAUUCUGCCUUCUAGUCUUUUGCCUUGCUAUUUCCUCUAUCUGUGUUUGUUUUCUUCCCCCCAUUUUUAAGUGCUGACCUUUUUAAAUGUGCCCCAUUUGUUUAUUUUUUCUAUUGUUUCCCUUGCCUGAUCAGACAUAGUUCUUGAAAAUAUGCUGCUAAGACCCAUGUCGAAGAGCAU